GCCGCUUCUCCCUCAGCGAGGGCGACGCGACACCCGCCCCGCCUUCCCGCCAACUCUGGGCAGGGCGAGAAAGGACACGUCGCGCCUGCGCACAAAGGUACCGGAGAAGAGGAUGGAAGAAGGGGAAAGACAAGCGGUGGCCUCCGCGGGGCGGGGGCGGCGUGACGUCAAGGCGCUCCGUAGCUCUGGCGGCGUGACGCAGGCGCGCAGAGGGAGAGCUGUGUUAUGAUUAUGCUGCAUUAAACUCGAACAUUCUUUAUAUGCACCCUGAGCUGUUUCAUGGAUUUUUAUAUGCCAUUAAAGAGGUAAUUGCUCGGAUGGUUUUUGACAUGGAUGGAAUGUUUUAUUGGCUGUAACACAGCAGGAUGAAUAAAGCUGGCUGAGAGUCACGUCUGACUGUGAAGUUGGGGUGCAGGACCCUCUGGCUUCCCCAGGAGCUCUGCCUUUGUGGACUCGCUGCAGAAAGUGCAUGGUGUGGAAGGCCAUGCUGAAUGCUCAGAGGUCAGACCCAGGAAGAUGUAAGCUGCUUUCUGUGGAGACAGUAUGCUCGGAGAGAGGAGGCAUGCUCUCCCAGAGCCCGGACUGGCUUCGUAUGAAUCCUCUUCCACACUGUGCACUUCCCAAGAGUCUGCACAGGCACUGACACUUCCUCCAGCCCCUCCUCUGGCCUUUGUCUCUUUUUCAGGCAUUCAGAGGCUACCUGAUAUUUGUUCUCCAACACCUUCAGUUGGCACCUUGCAGGAGAGCGGCCCAGGCCAUCAGUUGCCAGGAGACAGG